GGCCCAGAGUAUCAUGAGUUACCACUAUGCUUAACUGAAGACAAAGUGUUCUUUUUAGAGUAUGGUUCAUUCUUCUUCGUCCAGACAAACCACUUACCCAUUGGGCUGAAAAGUUCCAUUUAUGUUUUAUCACUUUGUUGUAGAAUUAUUAGGCCUCUAUAAAUCUGUAAGGCCCCUUUAAAUCCUCUUGCUAUACCUCUAAGAGGCCCCCAUAGUUUUACAAGAAAGCUCUGUCUAUAGAACAUAGAAUUUGCAUGCCAGCAAGAAAUAGCUUUGAUAAAAUGUGUAUUUACUAAAAGCCUUGAAACCUAACCGUGCCAGCUACACUCUAAAUGGAUGGCUGCCAAAGCACCCCUCCCAUCGAGUGAACACCUCGU